rnacentral:rRNA from 1 species
AGAGUUUGAUCAUGGCUCAGGAUGAACGCUGGCGGUAUGCCUAACACAUGCAAGUCGAACGAUGUCUUCGGACAUAGUGGCGGACGGGUGAGUAACGCGUGAGAAUCUGCCUCUAGGAUGGGGAUAACGGUUGGAAACGACCGCUAACACCCAAUAUGCCGUAAGGUGAAAAAUUUAUUGCCUGGAGAGGGGCUCGCGUCUGAUUAGCUAGUUGGUGGGGUAAGAGCUCACCAAGGCUUCGAUCAGUAGCUGGUCUGAGAGGAUGAGCAGCCACACUGGGACUGAGACACGGCCCAGACUCCUACGGGAGGCAGCAGUGGGGAAUUUUCCGCAAUGGGCGAAAGCCUGACGGAGCAAUACCGCGUGAGGGAGGAAUGCCUUUGGGUUGUAAACCUCUUUUCUCAGGGAAGAAGAUCUGACGGUACCUGAGGAAUAAGUAUCGGCUAACUCCGUGCCAGCAGCCGCGGUAAUACGGAGGAUGCAAGCGUUAUCCGGAAUCAUUGGGCGUAAAGCGUCCGCAGGUGGUUUCCAAAGUCUGCUGUUAAAGACUGGAGCUCAACUCCGGAACGGCGGUGGAAACUUGGAAACUAGAGUUCGGUAGGGGUAGCAGGAAUUCCCAGUGUAGCGGUGAAAUGCGUAGAUAUUGGGAAGAACAUCGGUGGCGAANGCGUGCUACUGGACCGUAACUGACACUCAGGGACGAAAGCUAGGGGAGCGAAAGGGAUUAGAUACCCCUGUAGUCCUAGCUGUAAACGAUGGAAACUAGGUGUGGCUUGUAUCGACCCGAGCCGUGCCGUAGCUNACGCGUUAAGUUUCCCGCCUGGGGAGUACGCACGCAAGUGUGAAACUCAAAGGAAUUGACGGGGGCC